GGCCAAUGAUGUAUCAUUUUGCACGUAUUAUCAGAUCUGUUUUUGAUGAUAUCUAAUUGUCACUACCUCUUAGGCC
rfam:Vigna angularis cultivar Jingnong 6 C3547983_1, whole genome shotgun sequence.